rnacentral:rRNA from 1 species
CCUACGGGAGGCAGCAGUGGGGGAUAUUGCACAAUGGGGGGAACCCUGAUGCCACGACGCCGCGUGGGUGAAGGAGCGUUUCGGCGCGUAAAGCCCUAUCGGCAGGGAAGAAGCUCACGGUACCUGACCAAGAAGCCCCGGCUAACUACGUGCCAGCAGCCGCGGUAUUACGUAGGGGGCAAGCGUUAGCCGGAUUUACUGGUUGUAAAGGGGGCGCAGGCGGCAAUGAAACCCAGGAGUGAAAGCCCGGGGCCCAACCCCGGGACUGCGCUUGGACCUGUAUGGCUGGAGUACAGGAGUGGCAGGCGGAAGUCCUAGUGUAGCGGUGAAAUGCGUGGAUAUUAGGAGGAACACCGGUGGCGAAGGCGGCCUGCUGGACUGUGACUGACGUUGAGGCCCGAAGGCGUGGGGAGCAAACAGGAUUAGAUACCCCUGUAGUC